GACGAACGCUGGCGGCGUGCUUAACACAUGCAAGUCGAACGGAAAGGCCCUGCUUUUGUGGGGUGCUCGAGUGGCGAACGGGUGAGUAACACGUGAGUAACCUGCCCUUGACUUUGGGAUAACUUCAGGAAACUGGGGCUAAUACCGGAUAGGAGCUCCUGCUGCAUGGUGGGGGUUGGAAAGUUUCGGCGGUUGGGGAUGGACUCGCGGCUUAUCAGCUUGUUGGUGGGGUAGUGGCUUACCAAGGCUUUGACGGGUAGCCGGCCUGAGAGGGUGACCGGCCACAUUGGGACUGAGAUACGGCCCAGACGCCUACGGGAGGCAGCAGUGGGGAAUAUUGCACAAUGGGCGGAAGCCUGAUGCAGCAACGCCGCGUGCGGGAUGACGGCCUUCGGGUGGUAAACCGCUUUCGCCUGUGACGAAGCGUGAGUGACGGUAAUGGGGAAAGAAGCACCGGCUAACUACGG
rnacentral:rRNA from 1 species